rnacentral:misc_RNA from 1 species
UGUUCUUCUGAAAACGGUUGU